rnacentral:rRNA from 1 species
GGGUUGUGAGGUUAAGCGACUAAGCGUACACGGUGGAUGCCCUGGCAGUCAGAGGCGAUGAAGGGCGUGCUAAUCUGCGAUAAGCGCCGGUAAGGUGAUAUGAACCGUUAUAACCGGCGAUACCCGAAUGGGGAAACCCAGUGUGAUUCGUCACACUAUCAUUAACUGAAUCCAUAGGUUAAUGAGGCGAACCGGGGGAACUGAAACAUCUAAGUACCCCGAGGAAAAGAAAUCAACCGAGAUUCCCCCAGUAGCGGCGAGCGAACGGGGAGGAGCCCAGAGCCUGAAUCAGCAUGUGUGUUAGUGGAAGCGUCUGGAAAGGCGCGCGAUACAGGGUGACAGCCCCGUACACAAAAGCGUAUGUGCUGUGAGCUCGAUGAGUAGGGCGGGACACGUGGUAUCCUGUCUGAAUAUGGGGGGACCAUCCUCCAAGGCUAAAUACUCCUGACUGACCGAUAGUGAACCAGUACCGUGAGGGAAAGGCGAAAAGAACCCCGGCGAGGGGAGUGAAAAAGAACCUGAAACCGUGUACGUACAAGCAGUGGGAGCACCCUUUGGGGUGUGACUGCGUACCUUUUGUAUAAUGGGUCAGCGACUUAUAUUCUGUAGCAAGGUUAACCGAAUAGGGGAGCCGGAGGGAAACCGAGUCUUAAUUGGGCGUUAAGUUGCAGGGUAUAGACCCGAAACCCGGUGAUCUAGCCAUGGGCAGGUUGAAGGUUGGGUAACACUAACUGGAGGACCGAACCGACUAAUGUUGAAAAAUUAGCGGAUGACCUGUGGCUGGGGGUGAAAGGCCAAUCAAACCGGGAGAUAGCUGGUUCUCCCCGAAAGCUAUUUAGGUAGCGCCUCGUGAAUUCAUCUCCGGGGGUAGAGCACUGUUUCGGCUAGGGGGUCAUCCCGACUUACCAACCCGAUGCAAACUGCGAAUACCGGAGAAUGUUAUCACGGGAGACACACGGCGGGUGCUAACGUCCGUCGUGAAGAGGGAAACAACCCAGACCGCCAGCUAAGGUCCCAAAGUCAUGGUUAAGUGGGAAACGAUGUGGGAAGGCCCAGACAGCCAGGAUGUUGGCUUAGAAGCAGCCAUCAUUUAAAGAAAGCGUAAUAGCUCACUGGUCGAGUCGGCCUGCGCGGAAGAUGUAACGGGGCUAAACCAUGCACCGAAGCUGC